rnacentral:rRNA from 1 species
CAGCAGCCACGGUAAUACGAAGGGGGCUAGCGUUGUUCGGAAUUACUGGGCGUAAAGCGCACGUAGGCGGAUAUUUAAGUCAGGGGUGAAAUCCCGCAGCUCAACUGCGGAACUGCCUUUGAUACUGGGUAUCUUGAGUAUGGAAGAGGUUAGUGGAAUUGCGAGUGUAGAGGUGAAAUUCGUAGAUAUUCGCAGGAACACCAGUGGCGAAGGCGGCUAACUGGUCCAUAACUGACGCUGAGGUGCGAAAGCGUGGGGAGCAAACAGGAUUAGAUACCCGGGUAGUCCCUGUCUCUUAUAC